rnacentral:rRNA from 1 species
AAAUCCCUGGUGUGUCAUCGGGGAUAAUGUAAGGGAUAAUAAUGAUCGUACCUUACUAUUAGUGUCGUCCAAAUGCUCGUGCCAGAAGACUCGGUAAGGCGAGAGACGCAAACGUAAGUCAUCUUAAUCAGGCGUAAAGGGUUUGUAGGCGGCUUUAAGUACCCAAUUUUAAGUUUACUGUUAUUAUACUUAAUAUUAAAGUAUAUUAAUAUAUAAUUAAAGGGUCGUUUAAAGCUAGAAUCUUAAAGAGGUUAAAACAAUACUUGCAUACAGGUGUACUAACCGAAUACAGCUUGUAGAGUGCUAAGGGCGAAGGCUUUUUUCCAAUAAAGAUUGACGCUGAGAAACGAAGGUGAGGACAGAAAAAAGGAUUAGAGACCCUUGUAUCCCUCACUGUCAACGAUGAAUGGUAGUUACUAGGUAGAAAUAACCUAGAGACGAUGUUAACGCGAAAACCAUUCCGCCUUGUGAGUACGACUGCAAAGUUGAAAACAAAAAAAUUAGUCGGUUUCG